rnacentral:lncRNA from 1 species
CGUUUUGUGGUGGACAAGACGCACUAUCAGUUCACAGCCCUCCUGUAUGGCUUGUGCACAGCCCCCCGCAUCUUUACCAAGUGCAUGGCGGUCAUGGCUGCCUUUCUUUGCCGAUAACACGUAUACGUCUUCCCGUACCUAGGCGACUGGCUUAUACGGGGCCGGUCUCACCAUCACGUCCAGUUGCAGGAACACCUACUCAUAGACACGUUCAUUCGCUUGGGUAUCAUGGUAAACCUCAGCAAGUCCAUCCUCGCCCCUACUCAAACAAUAGAGUUUAUAGGAGCAGUCCUGGAUGCAAACCAAGCGAGGGCUUUCCUUCUGGAAGCACGGCACCUGGCUAUAGCAGGCAUAAUUACCAGCCUCUGCAAAUUUCCCACGACCACAGCAAGGCAGUGCCUCAGGCUGCUGGGUCACAUGGUGUCCUGUACAUACGUGGUGCAACACGCCAGGCUAAGGCUCAGGCCGCUUCAGACAUGGUUGGCGUCUGCCUAUCAACCGGGACGCGACAGCCUAGAAAUGGUCCUCACGGUCCCAAAGUGCACACUCGACUCCCUGCAGUGGUUGCUGGGUCCUCAGAUGGUGGGUGCCGGGGUCCCGUUCCAUCCCCCCCAACCCACUUUAACUCUGGUUACAGACGCAUCUGCCCUGGGAUGGGGAGUCCACCUCGGCAGCCUGACAAUGCAGGGCUUAUGGCACGAGAGUGAGCUGUUGCUGCACAUCAAUAUCAGAGAGCUCAGGGCAAUCCGCCCUGCAUGCCAAGCGUUUCUUCCCCACUUGCGGGGCUACUGCAUAGCAGUCCUAACGGACAACACCAAGGCCAUGUUCUACCUGAACAAGCAAGGCGGAGCCCGGUCAUCGGGGCUCUGCCAAGAAGCCCUCUUUCUGUGGGACUUCUGCUUAGCCCACCUCAUCAUCCUUCAGGCCUCGUACCUGCCGGGUGUCCAAAACGUUCUGGCAGAUACUUUGAGCAGGCAUUUUCUGACUCACGAAUGGUCCAUACGCCCGGAUAUCAUUCAUUCCGUUUUCCGCACCUGGGGGUUUCGCCGA